rfam:Dipodomys ordii contig_61394, whole genome shotgun sequence.
GGGACUGGGGCUCAGUGGUAGAGUGCUUGCCUAGCAUGCAUGAAGCCCUGGGUUCCACUCCUCAGUACCA